rnacentral:tRNA from 1 species
UCUUAUAUGGCAGAAUAAUG